UACGGAAGGGGCAAGCGUUGUUCGGAAUCAUUGGGCGUAAAGGGCGCGUAGGUGGUUCUGUAUGUCUACCGUGAAAGCAUACGGCUCAACUGUAUUUUGUCGGUAGAAACUGCAGGACUUGAGGCUGGGAGGGGCUGGUGGAAUUCCCUGUGUAGCGGUGAAAUGCGUAGAGAUGGGGGAGAACACUCGUGGCGAAGGCGGCCCCUGGUCAGAUUGACGCUCAUGCACGAAGCGUGGGGAGCAAACAGG
rnacentral:rRNA from 1 species